CCUGCUGACAGUUGGGGCAGAGACUGUCAUACGCUCUGGGUAACACUCACAGCCAGAUGCCGCGCUACAGUGAAAGAUUUACAAAUGUGACAAAAGCAAACUGACAAACCGAAUAAGCCCAGGACACUGGAAAAUACUUGAAAAACAUGUACUAUAUUGUAUUUUGCAGGAUGUUCCUCAACAGAUUGGUUCUCUGGACUGUGGUGCGUUCAUGUUGAUUGUUGUCACGGAUCGGGGAAGCAGGAGCAGGAAGACGGAGAAUCGGGAAACAAAGGAUUUAUUGGGGAAACCAGCUAGGAACACGAGGCAAUAGAAGUAGCGACUUAAAUGACAGGUCUGGGGAAACAUAUUUUGACGCGGAGUUAAAUACAUAGGACUAAUGAAAACAGCUGGAAACAGCGAAUGACAUCGGGAUUCCACACGUGAGUAACGAGGGGGCGUGGCACACGGGAGCAGUGGACGAGCGCCCAAGACAACUGUAAGAUAUAAUACCUUGAAUUGUUGGACGUAACACUUGUGAUACAGAGAAUGUAUUGAAGUUUUUCCCCCUUCCUCUCCCUUUUAUCAGUAUGCACUCUGCAUGGCCUUGGUGUGUCUUGAGUAUUACAAAAUGCACCAUGAACUGUCUAUAUUAUAUAUCUAUAUUAUAUUUUUAUUUAUGUCAUAAUAUGUGAAUUUGAUCUGUUGUUUUGCAGUGAGUUGGAGGGAUUUGACAAAAACAUCCUUUUAGAAAUGCGUGAGGAAGGUCAAGACUCUGGUCUCCAGCUCACCGCUCUCUGUUACAUUUCCAUGGCCAUGUUGUCCGAUAGUAUUAUUGGAUUUUUCUAUACUAUAGUUUUUUAUGUUUAAUUAUUGCACGCUAUAUAAAUUGUUAUAAUAGUUUAUUUUUCCUUUUGAUGUGUGUGUGCUUAAAAGUAUUAAAUAUGAGUAAUAGCAAAUACAGUUUCCUCAGUAAUGUAUUUCAUGAAAUGAUAUUUUCCCAACAAAACCCAUGUUUGCAUUCAAGUCUCUUAUGGUUUGUACAUAAUAUUUGCAACAAUUGUAAAUAUUUUGCAGAAUAUGUACUACAAGCCUCUGCAGUUGCAGCCGCACCCAUAUCCAAAUUCAUAUAUGAUAUAUUUGUAUAUGUGUGUUUCAACAUUCCUAAAAACCCUUAGGUUACAUAAUAUAUCCAAAUAUAGGGAAUUUCAGUAUGAGUCCUGAUGUAUUAUCCAUAAUGCUGUACUUGCCCUACACACGGUGAGUUUGUAAUAGAAUCUUAGCCAGUCAUUACUGAGUAGUUGUCACGUGUUGAACUCGGCAA